rnacentral:rRNA from 1 species
AUGGAGUCAACUACGAAACUUAAAGAUAUUACAAUGGGACAGCAAAACUGUAAGGUCUUUGCACGGGUAAUAAGACUUUGGGAUGCUAUAAAUACGAAUCCAAGAUAUGGAAAUGCUUUGAUCAGCAUUGAUGGCAUUCUCUUGGAUGAAGAUGGAUCCAUGGCACAAAUCAGUGUGCCUAAAAAAAUAGAAAAACAAUUUCGUGGGUUGCUAUCUCAAGGAUCUGUCUAUAUUAUUUCAAAUGUUGCAGUUAUCGAUAUCAGAAGCAAAUCAUAUGUCUAUCGCCAUCAGAAUUAUAUGCUGCAAUUCAAACAAGACACAAAGGUCCAUCCGCUACAUUCAAGAGGUGCAGAUAUACCUACACUUUUGUUCGACUUUUGCCCAUUUGAUGAGCUGCCACAAAAAGCAAUUGAUUCCAAGCCACUCCUAGAUGUGAUAGGAGUAAUAUGUGAUGUUGGUCCAUAUGACUAUGCUAGCCAAACAUCUCAGCACAAACUUCGGAAGAUCAAAAUUCGCAACCUAGAAGAACAAACACAAGAAUUAGUUCUAUGGGGCCAACAUGGAGAAUCAUUUGAUGAAGAAACAUUACUUCAAAAGUCUCAAGAAGGAAUUGUAAUAGGCAUUUUUGCUGGUGUAACUGCAACUCUGCAAAGGUUUACAGGUAUGAUACAAGGAUCCUCAAGUUCUGCGACACAAAUAUAUCUUGAUCUUGAUAUACCUGAAGUUCAAAAGUACCGCACCAGGUACAAACUUCCCCUUACACUAACAGAUAACUCGGGGAGUUUGGAUGCAAUUGCUUUCGCUGGAGUAGCCAAAGACUUAGUUGAGUGUCAUGCUGAUCAUGUUUCAAUGAGUAUGAAGAUAGAAGCUACAGAUCAUGUGCUUACCCUGGAUAAGGCCAUUGGUAAAGAAAAGUUAUUCUACAUAGGAAUGAACACUGAUUUGUCUGCCAAGUACCCUAUAAAUUAUGUCCUGAAAAAAAGUUUCUCUGUCAACAAUACUGAAUCA